AUGAGGAACUGUAUUAAAGGGUCGCGGCAUUAGGAAGGUUGAGAACCACUGCCACAGCAGCUGUAUGUAUUUCAAAGGGAACCUUCCACCAUUUGGUUUAAAGGCGACAGGUUGUAUACAGGUAGUCUCCUGUUUGCCCUUAUGCAGCGGGUCCCUCUGCCUCUGUGCAAAGCCCUGGGUGGCCUGGCCUCUGCCCUGUGCCUUUCUUUACUCCUUGAUCAUAUGGCCUUUCUAUUCUUCUACACCUACCUGGCUCAUUCUUGCUCAGGGCCUUUGAACCAGCUCCUCCUUAGCCUGGAGUGCUGUUCUUCCAUGGACACCCCCCCCCCCAAUUAUCCUCUUAAUGUUCCCUCAGAGAGACCCCUUGACUGCUUGCUCUAAAUCAGUCACAUCAGCCUGGUCUUAUUUGACUGACUUCUCUAGGUGACAUUUACCACAAUCUUCUUGUUUAUCUGCUGGUUUGUUCCAUGUGAGAAGGUGAGCCUGUGAGGGAAGGGAAUGUGCCUGCCUCUCCCGCUGCACCUCCAAACAGGGUCUGUCGUGUAGUAAGGAGAUGUCCAUGGGAUGAAUGGCCAAGUUGCUUUUCUCCUCCUGAGAUGCUGGUACCUGUUAGCGCCUGUGUCUUCCUGGGGGCAGGGUCAGAUAGCUCUUGAUUUCACCGCCACCCCCAGGAAACCAACAAAACAUAACAAUAAAGCAUCAUUGUUAUUUAACCUCUCACUUUUUCCACCUUGUAGAGCUACCCUCCUCUGCCCCACACCACUCUUCGAAGAAAGGAUCUGCUGCGAGACAGAGUGUCAACUGCUGUGAGGACCAGGGUGGGAUUCGCUUGGCACCAUCUGCAAACAGUUUGCAGAUUCUGCCCAAAUUCUGCCUCUACCAUCCCCUCCCAGCUUCCAUUGCCAGUGUCUAAUGCAUCCUGCCUGUUUCUCCAUGCACAGACAAGCAAAUGUGACUAUGAAUUCAUCUUGGCUCCCUUCAUAAAGUAAAAGAUAACAAACUA